rnacentral:rRNA from 1 species
UACGGGGGGAGCAAGCGUUGUUCGGAUUUACUGGGCGUAAAGGGCGCGUAGGCGGCCACCGCAAGUCGAUUGUGAAAUCUCCGGGCUUAACCCGGAAAGGUCAACCGAUACUGCGGGGCUAGAGUGCAGAAGGGGCAACUGGAAUUCUCGGUGUAGCGGUGAAAUGCGUAGAUAUAGGAAGGAAUACCAGUGGCGAAGGCGGCCUCCUGGAUCGAUACUGACGCUGAGGCGCGAAAGCGUGGGGAGCAAACAGG